CAUACCAGCCUCUGGAUUGCUAAACUCCUUCCUUCAGAUUUAAUGAUCUUUCUCUAGUCUCUGGUCUAGUAUAGUUUGGGAAAGAACUCCUUGUGUGUGAUCAUGUUUGUUUGCUUGUUUUUCUCAAAUCUUGUUGUCUUAUACCUGAGAACCACUUCGAAUCUAAAAGAUAAACAUAUACCUAGUUCCUUCCUGAAAUACCAGAAAUUGCAAGCUUGUCAAAUUGUGAUUAAUGAGGAUUUACUGGAUAUCAACAUAUGAGUCUUCGAUAAGAUGACCAUCCCCUGUAAAUUGUGGCACGUGUUCUCCAUGGCUACAUAGAUAGAAAAAACAAGAUGCAAAUGGAGGGACAUUACCUGGCAGGCCAACAUCCGUUUUAGGACACCAAGAUCACCAAGAAAGCAAAGUGUAUUCCAUCUGCAUGACAGUUUAGGCUGUGAAUACCAAGAAUAUAAUGUUAUGACCUAAGAAAUCUGAGGAUAUCGUCCUUCUGCCUGCUGAAAAUCAUGGAAUUAAAAAGAUAUAGAGUCCAUUCUGAGAAAUUCAAUUUCAUCAAAUGGAAAGUGAAAGCAUCUCCAAUUCUAUAUAUACACUGAAGCCUUCAUGCCCCAUUUACACUACUUGUAUCGAAUCCCGUAAUAGGUUUCUGCCUAUUGAGUCCAAAUAAAUGGUGGUUAUCAAAAUGUUCUAUUUUUAACUGAUCUUUUAAGUUGCUUUCUCUUUAGUAUUUUUCCUGAUAAAAUAUCCUAAUUCCUUAAGGCUGUUAAUUAAUUGAUGUGCUUUCCCCUAAAUAAUAGUAUAGUUCAUUUAAAGGUAGGAGCCAGAAACA
rnacentral:lncRNA from 1 species